GGAUAUCUUCCAGCAGUGCCACGAGUGAGUCUUCUGUGAGGAUCAGGCCAUAUUCUUAUCAACUGGCAGGAAAGCAGCUUGGAAGGCUAACCACAUUCAUGGAGAACCCUCAGUUGAGGCUGCGAGAGGAAAAAGAAUAAAGUAUGAACUCUCGCAGGCACACCAUUAUAAGAAUCAAGAUUGGAUGAUUUAAACAGAUGGUUCCCAUCCGAUCAACAGAAGGUCUGAGUGGAACAACG